GAGAUAAGAAAGACUAAAAAAACUGAAACGGCUAGGGUUUUCUUUGGGAGAAAUUUUGAAUUCCUUGUAUUGUUUGAUUGGAAAACUGCUCAAACUCUGCUGAUUUUUUGAGUCUUCUGAUUUCAUUUGGUAAGCCAAAAACUUCUGAAAAUCACAAAUUCUCAUUCUGGGGUUGAAAUGGACUGAACUUGGGUUUUGAAAGUUUUGGUUUAAGUUUUGUUGUUUGGUUCACUGUUCCAUUGCUGGUCGAAGCUGAUUCCUAUUGAUGCUAUCUUAGUAUUGAUCUACUGCUGCUAUUAGUUUCUUCCUAAUCUCAAAAUUGAGUUUUGAUUCUGUCUUUGUCACAUUCAGGUACAUGCUCUUGAAACUCUGUUGUUCUUGAAGUUUACCUUGAAGAAUGAAAUGAGAAGAAGAAGUUUUAAAGCAUAACAUUAGUUAUUUUGUUGAGUCAGUCUUUUCUCUUUUGAUUUUUCUUACCUGAUGAGCUACAUUUUCUAAUUGAGUUCUAGUUUGUGUAAGUAAGUUUUAUUACUGUAUCUAAUUUGGGACUGCCAUGAAAACUUGGAAAAUAGCUUGUUGGGUUGAAUCAGUAGUUUAGGCUCUGCAUUUCAUCAUUUAAAUCCUGGACUACACUAGACAUUCUCUACUAUGUAGUUUAUUUAAAUUGUUGGUAAUGUUUGAGGUAUUUGGAUGCUGCAAUGUUCAUGUAAGUGUAUAGCUGAAUGUUCCUUUUAAGAUGGUCUAAUUUGCUUCAGGGGUAAAAUCAUGCAUUGAUUUACUGUUGAAGGGCAUGUGGAUGUGUUUAACUUUAGAAAUGGAGUGG
rnacentral:lncRNA from 1 species